UUCACGGUAGAAAAUAAGCGCUCGUCACACAGUUUUUUCCAGUUCGAAGUGCUGGUUUUCUUUCCACAGCAGCUGAGCGGUCAGUCCAUAAAUGCGUGUCAUUCGUGAAUGUGCGGAGUUUCCCCGCGUUGCUCUUCUGCGGAGUCCUUGUGCAGUGUCCCGUAGACGCGCAGCACCAAGUCCUCAACGAGUUCACUCCCGCGCGGUCAGCUGCCCGGCGCCCCACAGCGUUCGCCUGCCGACUUGAGAACGUGUGCUUCACUGCCUCUUUCAAAGAUUUAAAAUCACACAUUUUUAUACGGGGAUGUAUUGGGUUGCACUUCAAAUAAGGCUAUACCUUAUUGGAUAAACCUGACGAAAAAAAAGAGGCAUAAACACAAGCAGCGGUCUGCAACCAGUGUGGAGGACAAACGAAGAAGAAUCACAAAAAGCUGAAACUGUUGAAAGACUUCAACAAAAAGUAACUCCCUGUCUUUCCAGUCUUCAGUCAGUGGAAAAAUCAGCCAGAAGGUAGAAAGAGUUUCCUGGCAUCUCCCAGAACAAGUGGAAUGAACUUUUACUCAUCGCAGACCACAUUCUGAAUAAGGAUGUUUUGGAACUUCAGGAUUCUUCUAUUGAGGGAACAGCCACGGACUCCAUUGGUCCUGUCCAGGCCUUGGCUAAAAUCUGAAACUUCUGUUGGGUUGUAGUAUGCUGCAGAGCUUUACAAGGCUCGCAUCUCUUAUCAGUAAGAGGGUGUGAUGAAGUUCUUUCUCUCGCAACCCCCUUUGCCUUUAGUAUUCUGCAAAUGAUUGCCCAAAAGAGAGAAAGCAGCAUUGCAAAAAUACUAAAGAGGAGGGGUGUUUUUAAAUGUACACUUGAAGGCCAACUAAUAAUUAUACAGUAUCUAUAAGACAGAUGAUUUUCACAGUACAUUCUAGCAACAGCUUUUCUCAAUUAAGGCUAAGGCAGAAAUGGAUGAAAACUACAAGAAGUCAUGAUUAGAAAUGCCUUAACAUUUGUCUUAUUUAAAUCCUGGUUUAGUAACAUGAAUGUCUUAACUGAAAGGGCACUUGUGCAUGUAGUAUUGCUCAUUGUUUCAAGUCUGAAUUAGAAUUCUUUUAGCCAUUUUGGACUCUAUAGCCCAAAAUGAGCCAGCUGUUUGAAUGAGGAGUUCCACUAAAGACCCUAAUUUUACUGCUGGUAAGAACUUGCAUGCAGGGAUAACUAAGCACCACACUGAGUUUUCAAGGGCAGAGUCAAAUUCCUGAAAGAAAAGUGAGAUGGGGGCUGCAGUGCUCCUUCAGAAUUGCACAGUGUGGGGUGGGGGGGCUUGUCAGCCUAAGAUAAGUUGAGCCUGCACCCUUGUUGGAGGUUGAGGUCGAUGGGCUGGGAAGGGAAUUUGCACAAGCACAGUAUUAAUGUCUCGGAAUACUUAGUAAGAAUUAGAAAAGAUGGGCUGGCAUGCCUGGAAUUGAUAAAUGUUUGUGUAUUUUAUAUAAAGUAUCUCAUAAUACUUGUCGGAAGAAUAAGGUGUUGGAGAUGGUCCGGCUAGGAAGUCAUGCAGGUAAGUCCACAAGUGCAUGUGUGCUAUCAUUUGUAUACUUUACAAGUUGACUUAUUUUUGCUUAACCCCACCAGACGAUUCAGACACUUGGUAUGUCCUUGUCUAGGCUCAAGAAUUUGGAGGAAAAGCCACACGACUGCAGGGCAGAGGACAAAUGACACGUCCGUUCUUGAAACCUAGAAAUGUACAGCCCGUUAGGGGGUUUCAGUGAGCAGCGAAGUCUUUGUGUUUCAGGUGAUGUUACCUGUCCCUACUUUGUGCGUUUUGUCUUCAGAGUUCAACAAUGCAUUCUGUGGAAAGCAAUAUGACACAAGCAAAAAAAAUUGAGUGUACCAUAUUCUGACACUUAAGGAGACUAGGAAAGUUCAGACUGCCUUAAAAAAAUCAUGUGUGUGCUGCUGGUCCAUUUUUGUAUGUAAUUUACAUUUUAUUUCUCGUGUAUCCUUGGUUUUAGCCCUUUAAAAGGUUUUGUCUGAAAGAUCGGUUUGCAGAAACACAACCAGCAAACCACACAGCUGAUGCAGACAACUUAACAUUUAUGUGUUACUUUAGUUAUGUGGAUGAGACACUGAGACUGCUAGCUUAAAAAAUAAAAACCAAGCUCGAUAGACUGAUCUCCACUUGGCCGUCUAAUUUCUUAUGUUCUCGACUACAGUGCAGUGGUGUGACACUUGCCACUGCUGCCUCUCCACUCACAGGUUGAUUUAUGGCCUUCCUAGUGCUUGCAUAUUUUCCUGAUGUCCGUGUAGGUUUUCUCCAAGUACUCCAUAACAGAAAGAUGCGGUAGUUUGACAGGGGACCGGUAUUUUGCCUGGUGCGAGUGAGGGUACCCAGUGCCCAUACCACCUUAUGCUAUACUUACCUUUGUUGUAGGAAGAGUGGAUGAAGAUAAUGCGAUUCAUCCUGUGCUACAGUCCCUCAUCUUAAAUUAACAGUAACUUCAAACUUGGGACAGGUUUGUUGAACGUUUUGCUCGUGGUUUCAGGUACAAGUCCAUGAUACUCUCAAGGAAAUUGAGGUGCGAUUUGUCAGAGCAUUAAUGUGACCGCUGUUUGCAAACUUCAGUUAAGUAUAGAGCUGGUCACAAGUUUAGGAUGUCUAAACACACUUUUAACUUGUGGAAUGAUGGGAACUGUUGGUAGUUGUAACUUGGUACUUGUGACUUUCAACUGCAUUUAUUCUCAUGUUCAGCUCCUCUUGUUCAUUUUACUGCUCCAGCACUGUGCUGGAAGGACAAGACUGGAGGUCAUAAUACAGAGGGGCAGCCAGAACUUGUUAAAAUGUUCAGAUUAUUUACAUUGGAGGGAAUUCUAGACUUAACAGGGAAUUGGGGAUGUUAAACCCAUCGCCACAGUAAGCUGCUGCAAAAUGUGAGCCUGCUGUUGUCAAUCUGUACAUCAGCUGGAGGACAUAUUGGAGUUUGUCAUACAGUUGGCUGGCUGUACCUGUGCAGGUCAGUGCCCGCCGAGACCACUAUAACACCAUGGAGGUUCGAUUUAUGGGUUUGAAGCCACUGGGUGGGGCCAAAUCAAGAAAGGGAAAAUUUAAUACUGGACCAAACCUGCAAAAGUCCAACUAGUUUUGAUACAUUUUCAUCAAGUAUAUGUCAUAGCUAUAAUUUUUUAUUUGGCUUCCUGAAAUUAAGGAAUGUUCUUACUGUGUUGAAUAUUGUCUUCUCUUAAGGUAAGUAAUAUUAUUGCACAUUUACAGUAUAAUAAAUUAUAUUACUGUUAAUAAAAGUGUUGAUAAUAUUUGCACCAACAGAACAUGUUACAAUUGAAUUGUGCUAUGACUGUGUGAUGGCUGCCUAAUGAUGACAUCUUUGGCUGUGGCCUUGAUUGGUGGACAUGUGAGGGAAAAUCAGGUCACAUUUUGUUUGCUGCCCAAUUAUCGCCACUGCGGUCAUCACUCACAGUUGUCACAUUGCAGUUUCACAAACAUCAUCAUGUGUGCACACAAUAACUUUCAGACAGUAAAGAUGAUGACUUUCUUGUCCUCAGGUGUUGUUGGAGAUGCUGGAAAAGUAUCAAGGACAGAAUGAUAAUUAGCCCGGACCCUCUCAUAUUUUAGCCUUGGUCUGUCUUUAUCCUUCUAUGCUUUGAGCAGAGAACCUAUUGACAUGGAGAGCUUACACCUCUUGCUUAGUAUUUUUUGCAGUAAUCAAAAGAUUUUCGGUUUAAUUAGCUUUAUUAUAUGCAGUGAUGUUUUAGCUCGUACACCCAACAUGGAGUUUGGCCAUCUGUCAAUGAAACCUCCUUGAAUAACAAAAUGUUGUGCUGUAUGUAAAUAAGAAAAAAAGCAGCCAGUGUAAGUCUCAAAGUUCUAAUAAAAUGAAUAAAAUAUGGAUGGGGACUCCACCCACCAUCUCCGCUAAUUGUUGGCGGGCACUACUCUAUGCAUCCUGACUUCCCAUAGACAUAAUUGGGCAGUUUACUCAACUUUCAGAAGUUAAAUGUUAAUUCGGAAACUGUUCUAUAAAUUGUAUCAGUUAAUCUUUCUGCAAACAUAAUACAACUAAAUUUGAACACAUUAUUAAAAACAUGGCUUCCUUAGAGGACUGCCAGCAUGGAAUAAAGUAAACCACAUCCUCCUCACAUGCGAGCCGUUGGUCCAAAGUGUGCAGUGAGCAGCCACAUCUGAACUCUUGUGUUCUCAACACCACACUACAGCAGGCUUGAUGGGGAAACAGCACAGGCCAGAGUAAAGAAUGGCAAAGUCCAGAUUUUUACCUAAACUUUAUUUAUUUUUUUUUAAUUAAAGACACAUUAAAGGGUUGAUCAAGUGGGAAAAAACGCAGAAGUGUCAAAUAAAACCCACUUGGUUUCAGCACAUUGGAUUAGUUUGCUUUCUACUUUCUAAUAAGUCACAAAUACUCUCCUGCCCACCCCUCUAACUCUUCUCUCCUCACAUCUGCUCCAGUACCUUCCUACCUUUUGCUCCCAUUCACCUCCCAAGUAGCCUCCAUUUGGGCUGUAAACUCCAUUUUGAGGUUGUUUCCAUGACAGCCAGAAACACAUCUGGACCAAUAAAUGUUCUCUAAAGGCCCAGGGUCCAUCUCGUCUGGGAGCGCCAAGUGUCCAUGCUCUCCCAGUUUACAAUUGAAGGGUCAGACUGCCAUGGUGGCUGCCAGUCCUUUAAGGUACCCCGUGGCAGCCCUCGGCCACCUGACACUUUCAGGGAGAUCUCCACUGCCUACCAUGACAUUAGUGCCCUGGGAGACCACAGCUAACAUGGACACAAAUGUUCAUCAUAUGAUAUUAACUUCAAAAGGAAACUGAUCUGCUUGGCUACACAAAACAUUUAUGGCACACACACACACAGAAAAAGGAAUUCAGAAAUCCCAGAAGGAGUUUCUAAUCACGCUUAGAUUUUAAUCCUGUGUUUACUUUGUAGCCAAAUAAAUAAUUGGGGGGGGGGACUUUAGUUUUGCAGGUUAGCAAGUUGGAGACUGCUGAUGCAUAUCGCCUGGUGGCCAUCUCCCCAUACUGGAAACUGAGCAACACCUCAGUUAGAAGUGUGUCUUAUCCUUUUUGAAUCCACUCCAGCCAUUUCUGCUCUUGGCAGCCCCUCUCAUGACAUCUGAGGUACCCACAAAUAUUCUUCAUCUGUGUUACAUGCAUUACAUUGGCAGACUAUGGAAACAAAAGUUUGAAAUCUAUUAUCAUAAAUCACAGAAGAACUGAUAAAAUAAAUGUCGGAGCCCUUGUUCAGGUCAUUAAUGAUACGUGUAAUUAAACACCGUGGAGAUUUGGAUAUGUGUAUUCAGAAUGGAAACAUUUCAUUAUGCAUUGGCAAUCUGUAAUGAACUGGCAUCAGUGGAGCUGAAAUAAAGGAUAGGCAAUAGGAGGAGUUGGUUCUUGGCAAGCCUAGUGAUUCCCUGAAAGGUCACAUCUUAUUUUUUUUUGUUUUGUAAGUUGGUUUUUGUGGUGGUAUUUUAAGACACGCUGGUAGUUUUUAGCACAUGAAAUUUUCCUCAGGUCAAAGAUCGUUACUGUGGUAUUCUGGAGUUCAGCCUUUUCUAUUUUGCUUCAGAUUACUAUUUCUAUUAUCAUCUGUAUCCAAGUUGACUUGCAACAUUUCAAAAAUACAAUUUGUUAUAUUUCUA